AGAGUUUGAUCCUGGCUCAGGACGAACGCUGGCGGCAUGCCUAGCACAUGCAAGUCGAACGGAGUUGUUAUUCAGAAGUCCUUCGGGAUGGAAGGAUAAGAACUUAGUGGCGGACGGGUGAGUAACGCGUGGGUAACCUGCCCUUUUGUGGGGAACAACUUCGAGAAAUCGGAGCUAAUACCGCAUAAUAAUAGAGGAUCGCAUGAUUCUUUAAGGAAAGAUGGCCUCUGAAGAUGCUAUCGCAAAAGGAUGGACCCGCGUCUGAUUAGCUAGUUGGAAGGGUAACGGCCUACCAAGGCAACGAUCAGUAGCCGGCCUGAGAGGGUGAACGGCCACAUUGGGACUGAGACACGGCCCAAACUCCUACGGGAGGCAGCAGUGGGGAAUCUUCCGCAAUGGGCGAAAGCCUGACGGAGCAAUGCCGCGUGAGUGAAGAAGGCCUUCGGGUUGUAAAACUCUGUCCUUAUCGAAGAGAGGUAGGUAUGUGAAUAAUGUACCUAUAGGACGGUAGAUAAGGAGGAAGCCCCGGCUAACUACGUGCCAGCAGCCGCGGUAAUACGUAGGGGGCGAGCGUUGUCCGGAAUCACUGGGCGUAAAGGGCGCGUAGGCGGUUUAAUAAGUCAGUGGUGAAAACUGAGGGCUCAACCCUCAGCCUGCCACUGAUACUGUUAGACUUGAGUAUGGAAGAGGAGAAUGGAAUUCCUAGUGUAGCGGUGAAAUGCGUAGAUAUUAGGAGGAACACCAGUGGCGAAGGCGAUUCUCUGGGCCAAGACUGACGCUGAGGCGCGAAAGCGUGGGGAGCAAACAGGAUUAGAUACCCUGGUAGUCCACGCCGUAAACGAUGGAUACUAGGUGUUAGUAGUUUCGAUGCUACUAGUGCCGGAGUAAACACAAUAAGUAUCCCGCCUGGGGAGUACGGUCGCAAGACUGAAACUCAAAGGAAUUGACGGGGGCCCGCACAAGCGGUGGAGCAUGUGGUUUAAUUCGACGCAACGCGAAGAACCUUACCAAGACUUGACAUCCUCCUGACAAGAUAUGUAAUGUAUCUCUUUUCUUCGGAGACAGGAGAGACAGGUGGUGCAUGGUUGUCGUCAGCUCGUGUCGUGAGAUGUUGGGUUAAGUCCCGCAACGAGCGCAACCCUUAUUUCUAGUUGCCAGCAGUAAGAUGGGGACUCUAGAGAGACUGCCAGUGACAAACUGGAGGAAGGUGGGGAUGACGUCAAAUCAUCAUGCCCCUUAUGUCUUGGGCUACACACGUGCUACAAUGGUCAGAACAGAGGGAAGCGAAGCCGCGAGGUGGAGCAAAUCCCAGAAAACUGAUCUCAGUUCGGAUUGCAGGCUGCAACCCGCCUGCAUGAAGUCGGAAUCGCUAGUAAUCGCGGGUCAGCAUACCGCGGUGAAUACAAUCCCGGGCCUUGUACACACCGCCCGUCA
rnacentral:rRNA from 1 species